AUUGAACGCUGGCGGCAGGCCUAACACAUGCAAGUCGGGCGAGCGGCGGACGGGUGAGUAAUGUAUGGGGAUCUGCCUGAUGGCGGGGGAUAACUACUGGAAACGGUAGCUAAUACCGCAUACCAUCAGAUGAACCCAUAUGGGAUUAGCUAGUAGGUAAGGUAACGGCUUACCUAGGCGACGAUGCCUAGCUGGUCUGAGAGGAUUAUUAGCCACACUGGGACUGAGAAACGGCCCAGAUUCCUACGGGAGGGAGCAGGGGGGAAUAUGUGAAAAAGGGCGCAAGCCUGAAGGAGCCAGGCCGGGGUGAAGAAAAAGGGCUUUGGGUUGUAAAGGACUUUCCGCGGGGAGGCGUUACCCGCAGAAGAAGCACCGGCUAACUCCGUGCCAGCAGCCGCGGUAAUUC
rnacentral:rRNA from 1 species